GAUGAACGCUGGCGGCGUGCCCAAUACAUGCAAGUCGAGCGAAUGGAUUAAGAGCUUGCUCUUAUGAAGUUAGCGGCGGACGGGUGAGUAACACGUGGGUAACCUGCCCAUAAGACUGGGAUAACUCAGGGAAACCGGGGCUAAUACCGGAUAACAUUUUGAACCGCAUGGGUCGAAAUGGAAAGGCGGCUUCGGCUGUCACUUAUGGAUGGACCCGCGUCGCACUAGCUAGUUGGUGAGGUAACGGCUCACCAAGGCAACGAUGCGUAGCCGACCUGAGAGGGUGAUCGGCCACACUGGGACUGAGACACGGCCCAGACUCCUACGGGAGGCAGCAGUAGGGAAUCUUCCGCAAUGGACGAAAGUCUGACGGAGCAACGCCGCGUGAGUGAUGAAGGCUUUCGGGUCGUAAAACUCUGUUGUUAGGGAAGAACAAGUGCUAGUUGAAUAAGCUGACACCUUGACGGUACCUAACCAGAAAGCCACGGCUAACUACGUGCCAGCCGCCGCCGUAA
rnacentral:rRNA from 1 species